AUUGAACGCUGGCGGCAGGCCUAACACAUGCAAGUCGAACGAGUGGCGGACGGGUGAGUAAUGUCUGGGACACUGCCCGAUGGAGGGGGAUAACUACUGGAAACAGUAGCUAAUACCGCAUACCAUCGGAUGUGCCCAGAUGGGAUUAGCUAGUAGGGGGGGUAAAGGCUCACCUAGGCGACGAUCCCUAGCUGGUCUGAGAGGAUGACCAGCCACACUGGAACUGAGACACGGUCCAGACUCCUACGGGAGGCAGCAGUGGGGAAUAUUGCACGAUGGGCGCAGGCCUGAUGCAGCCAUGCCGCGUGUAUGAAGAAGGCCUUCGGGUUGUAAAGUACUUUCAGCGAGGAGGCGUUACUCGCAGAAGAAGCACCGGCUAACUCCGUGCCAGCCGCCGCGGAAUUC
rnacentral:rRNA from 1 species